AGCAUGCUCUUAGGGAAAGGUGCAGAAUACACGAUUGAGCCACUUGUCGAAUAUGGUCAUCACAAGAGAAUAUUCUACUACCAUGAAUUAAAUAGCCUUUCUAAGUAUAAUGAGUCAUUUUUCUCUGAACAGUGGUAAAAGUAUACGUUUCAUAUACAUGAUUGAACUGAGAAGAUAAACAGACCA